rnacentral:lncRNA from 1 species
AAAGUUCGGCAUCGACGGGGCGGGAGGUGGGGGCGCUGCCCCGCGCCUUUGUUCAGCGGGGAGAGGACCUGCGGCGGAGCCGAGACGACCGCGCAGAUAGGCACGCACCCGGCAGCGCGGCCCCGCGCCCACGGGACGAGGAGGAGGAGGGAGGCAGAAGGUCCCCUUGCAGCCUCCCUCACUCUCUCCCUCCCUCCAAGGUCAAAACAUGGCUGUCCAAAGAAUGGGAUGCUUGCCAAAACAUCAAUCUGUGCUGAGUGCCAUACUCAUUAUCCUUCCAGUGGUGGAUUACAACUCGGGUCUCCUCAGGAGGUGACUGAUGUGGAACAAACUGUACGACUGUCUUUGCUGUUUGGAUACGUGUGUAAGUUAACGGGCUACUGGGAGAAGAUGAAGAGGCUUUUGCAGAAAAAUGAGGAUAUCAUGGGAAGUGCUGCUGCUAACCAUUUGGAUUAUAUUGCUGUCUGACACAGAAGUUCUGCAGAUUACGUAAGGAACUCUCCAGAUCUUUUUUGUUAUGUGAUUGCUGAAGCAUUUUCCUGGCACAGCAGUAAUGAUUGAUGAACACACUUCAGACUAGGAGCCACAGAGCAGUGAGGAUUUAUGCAUCUGGAAUAGAACUAUGAAUGGGAUUGCAGGAUUUACAUGGAGGACUCUGAAAUCCCUCACUUCCUGCUCCAGGAAGGGGGCCUGCUUUGUGACCUGGGGUACAAUCUAUGUCUGCUACUGAAGCUAUCUUGACUGGCAUGAGAAAUGGCUGUCCGCAUAUACAGAGGUGCAGCACAGCCCCUGGCUCUCAAUACAACCUUCAGAUGAAGGAGGAAAAAUAACAGUUCCAGGCAUUGUAAAAGAGGACCUUCUUCUCUGAUGAGGACAUUGCUGAGUUUAACUAGCAGAAGGUAGUAUCUUUACAUCACUACAUGAUGCAGAUGGAUCACUCUUUGCCAGCUGCCAAAUCAAAUAUUGCUGUACAGUCUCUACCUUCAGCAACAUCCUCAGUGUUCUGGUGGUGGGUCCCUUGAAAGGAUGGGGCAGAACAGACUUCAUGCCACCCCUGUACUUCAAGCUCUCUGCUCUGCAUGAAGCUGCACUGUUCAGAAGAAGCAAGAUUCUUUCCUCACAGCUACGGCACUGCGACACAGCCUGCUUUUUCGCAUUUACCUGGGUGGCUGCUGCUGGUUCUGCUGCUGCUGCUGCAGCCUCGCUGCCUGCGCUUCACCCCAGCUUGGCUGAUGCGAGCCUCCCUCGUCUGCACAUUGCUAAGGAAGAGAAGCGAUGGAGCCGCAAUUUUUUUGUUGGUUCUGGAAGCAAAGGGUUGUGAUGUGGGGUUGUUUGGGGGUUUUCUUUUUUUUUUUUUUUUUUGGUGGGGAGAGAAAGGAGGGAUGUUAAUCUAGGGUGGAGUGGGUAAAAGCUUAAAGAAAUAUGAUGAAAAGUAAUCCAGUGCUCAACAAGGGCAUCAGCAGCAAGAAUCCAGCCUCUGCUGCUCCAGAGGAUUAAGAUGGGGAAAGCCACAGAACUGCAGUCGAGUUGCACCUCAGCGUUGUUCUGGAGAUGGAUAAACAAGGUAUUGGUCGUAUCUGCCUGCUAAGGCAAAGCCACGGGAGGAAGAGCGAGCGAGAGAGUGCGUGCAAAUGCAGUGGAAGAAGGAACGCUGCGUGCUGUUUGUCUGAUUCUGUGCAUUCUCAGUGUGGAGAGGAUGGUGUGAUUAAGAAAACAAUGUAUGGAUAGAGGCACUAUGAAUUGUAGCUCGAACACUCCUGAUGCUGUCAGGGAGGGAACUGAUGAGCUAGGUGGCUGCAGCAGUAUCCCCAGGGAAAACAGCGGCCAUGCUGUGUAUGUAUGUGCUUAUGUAUGUGUGUGUGCUUAUGCGUGUGGGAGCAUGUACAGACAUGAAAGAAAGACAUUUCUGACCAAUUUACAGAGGAAGCUUGUCACUUUGAUGGUCAGCCUUGAUUGCAGCUUGUAUUUUCAGCUCUAGCUCUACACCCAAUUUCUGAGUGAGGCAGCACUUUGCGAAUGCAGAUGUAGGCAGGAUUCUUCUAAGAAAUAUGAAAGCAGAUCCUUUCUGUUUAACACCUUGGAGCACUGAAUUUUCUGCACUGUGUUGAGAGAAGCUAAGGGGGAGGGGAUCAUUUUCUCCAUCUUACAAUCUUUAUGAACACAGCUAUAUUCAGUACGGCAAAAAAAUUCUAUGUUCUAAAUAGAAAUGUGAUCAAUCUAAUCAAAAUAAAUGCAUCCCAGAUGACUUCUAGACCAGCUGGCUACCACAGUCAUCAGAUGGCUAAAUGCUCAACUGAGCAUUUAUAGUCAGGAUUAUAUUUCUUUUUUCUUUCUUUCUUUCUUUUUUUUUUUUUUUUUUUAGAAUUUUAAAAUCAGCCUCUAAUUAAAAAAUGAUUAUUCCUCUAUUAAAAGAGACAGCAGCUAGCAGCAGAUUUUUCUGAAAUGUACCUGUUUGGUUUUGUUUUUGUUUUUUGUCAUUGUCAUCUGAUUGGCUUGGGCUCUUUUUGUUUAUCUGUUUGGUUUAUAUUUCUGCGCAUGCAUUGAGGAGUCCAUGCUUUUAGAACAGGGAGACUUGUCACAGUGCUUGGCAUACUGAGUUCAGCUGGCAGCUCAGGUUGCCCAUAGCUGAACAAUGCAAAAAUAGGGAAAACAAGUACUGCAGUCAGCUAGUGGGGUUUGGCAUGGCUUUUAGCAGCUGCCUACUGAGAAAGAGGUUUCUUUUUUCUAUUCUUUUUUUUUUUCCCUUUUAUACAAAUCCGUAGACCAUAAUGUCAUCCUAAAAUGCGUACGGGGGGAUUUCCCAAUAGUCAUGGUGGGCUACCCUGCAAGAUGCCUGUCUGGCCCUUCCACUGUUUGUUACCCUGUCUACAAAGGCUGCCCUGUGUGUUGGAUUAUAUUUAGCCAGCUGCUGGGUAACAUUCUUGUGCUGGGGGCAGAGGAGUCUUAUUACUCCCAUACUGUAGUUUUGUGUUUUCUUAAAGAAAAAUAACCUUGGCAAUACAGCAGGCUCUGAAAAGAAGUGUAUACCACUCCUGCACCUUUCUGAAACUGCUGUGCUUCUAACUCAGGCUGUUUUAAAGCAAGCGAGCAGGAGGAAGAGUGGCUCUUAGCUCAUAGCUUCAAAGCUGCAAAAUGUCAGCAGCUUGUAAUUAGGAACCCGUGGUUACGUCAGGGACUGUAUCUCUCCAAGAAUAGCUGUGUGAUGUGUGCCACAAAGCAAAGGAAGGCAGUCAUAACCUGGUUCUCGAGCCUGCUUUGAACAACAGAGCGAAAUGGAUUAAUGAAUCAGCUGCAUUCGUAAAUCAGAGCUGGAUGGCUUACACGUAUGAGACUGGCUGCACUCUGCAAAAGUGAAGACUGAAUUAUCGGUUUGUCAGAGGGCACACGUUCACCGAGUGGAAGUGUGAAUCCUUCGGAAGAAAUGCAGACAAGCCAUCUGUCCUAGGAAAUGUCAUUCCCGUCUCCAUCUUGCACAGGCAGCUGCGUGCCACGAGGCAUGGGAGGGAGCGACUGGCCAGCCGCACCAAGGUGUUUAAAAGCACGCAUAAAAUUAAACACAAAGAGCCAGCACACCAAAACUCGGCUCUGGCGUUGCAGAUUUGAUGCUGAAAUACCACCCCAGUGCAGACCUACUGCGCUCAGGUGUGGUUUCUAUUAAGGCUUCUCUGGUUAAGGGAUGGUGCAAAAAAAGCCUUAGCGCAACAUCUUGCAGCCAAACGUGGUCCUGGGGGUGUACUGGGAAUGCUGCGGCGCUGGGCUGCCUACUCCACAGGGACCUGCCUGGAGCUUUCUGAUCCCUGCUGUUGUUUUUCGGUCUGGGCUGGCUGCUCCACAGCACUUAAGCGGUGAGAUUGCAGGGGUGCUUACCCUGCUCUGACCGGCCUUUCCCCGUGCUGUGGCUGGAGAUGUUUACACGGCUUUUAUCGACAGCCCUUCACCAGUCAGUGUGCAUUGCUGCCUGUUUUUGGCAGCCUGGCGUGGUUCCUUGCUCGCAGCACAAGUCAGCUGCAGUUCUGCUCUUUGUGCUGCUCUUUAAUUUACCAGGAUAGGUAGAUUGUAUUAUGCAAACAGUGGUUGUGGGUUCUGUUUUUUUUUUUUUUUUUUUUUUUUUUCCCUGACCGUGAACACAAAUUUGUAGGAGGAGAUGACUCUGUAUAUUAAACCAAUAGCUCUUUGAAUUGUGUGUAGUAUAAUUUAAAUAUACUUACUUUAAUUAGUAGGAGCUUACAAAAGCCGGCAUUGUCUGGGGCUGUUUAAUUUACAUCGCGGCCUCUGUCAAUGAGUGCAACCUGCCUGAACAGAAUGGCGUAUUCUGCACAGCCGGCAGGGUGGAAGGCGUUACUUUGUUUGUGUUCCUUCCAACAGCUGGUCAUUAAUGCAGGCCCCAUCUCCAGAGUGAAGUGCCGGUGGACAUGAAUGGCCGCCUGAUUAAUGCUGCCCCUCGAUGGCUCCUUCUUCCAGCAGUGAUGCUCGCAGCAGAAUAAUGCAGCGUGAUUUGAUUGCGCUCUAACAGGGCAGUAUGUCAUUGUGUCACCAAGCAAUUGAGGUUAUUAUGGGGCAGGGCAGACAGACGGGACAGUGGGGUUACUAGACCGUGGCAUUUUUAGAAAUGCAGGCCUGACCUACUUAGAGUUAUUCUUGCUGGCUGGCAGCUGCAUGGUGCAUGGCUUGUCCUGAUAGGCUGAGGCUGUUGCUAGGGGGAAUUAGCAUGAAUUUUUCCACAUACAGACUCAGUGAUUGAAUGAUAAAAGCUGACUGGAAUUAAAGAGAUUCGGUUCAGUAUUAUGCAGAUUUAUCUCCCUUGUUUUUUCCUCUCUCAAAUGCAUAAAAAAGGAGCAGAAGACAGUUUGUUUCCAUUCAUUUUUGACCUAUUUUUUUUCCAGAGGAGGGCAGAAGCACUGUGAAUUUUUGAUCAUUUACUAUUUAAGUCGCUGAAAUGAUAUGACAGUGGGCAUGCAUCUUUAAUGUAUAGGAGAUUCAAAUUCCUUCUCUCAGAAGGGAAUGAAAUGAAUAUAGUUUAUACACUGAUCAGACCAUCGCCUUUAUUUAUUUAUUUAUUUAUUUAUUUAUUUAUUCUCUAUUUGAAACUAUGUCAGAUUCUCUCAUCUGGAAAGGGAAAACGUACACCAGGUUUUAUUGCAUAACUUCACUCUUGGCUAUUUUUAGCUAUCUGCACUUUACAAAAUUAGUCCUGUUUGUGUGGCUGGAUGAAAUGAAUCCCCAGACUGUGCCUCCUGUAUGCAGAUACACGCACCCAGGAUGUGCUGUAGUGUGCCGUGUUCAUCUGAAAAGAUGCGCACACACUGCAGACAUAGCAGCUCUGCCUGUUGGCGGAGAACUGACGACUGGCCUUUAAGCUGAUUGAUUAGAUAACCUCUUGUGCAUUUUGAAGUAUUUUUCCGGCUUCAGUUUGAAGUUUGAUUCUCUUGAUAGCACUUUUUUAUUUAUCUACAUCUGCUUAAAACAGUCAUGUUUUUUCAGAGAAUUCUGUGUUCCCUCUGGAAGCAAGUAAAAACAAUACUCAGUGAAGACUUCUUUGAUGUAAUUAUGGAUAUUUCCUUUGUUAUUAUCACUAAUUAUAAGAUAUCUUCGUCCAAACCACAGUACCCCCUGUGUGAUCCUUUACCAUGCAAAAGGAGUUACAAUUUAGUGCUUAUGAUUUUAAAAGGGUUUUCAUGGCAACACCUCCUGACAUCACACUCAAAGAAUUGUGACUUUCCAGCAUCUGGGAAUGAGGGAGAGGGACUCUGAAGUUUUUGUAUUUGCCAAAUGAGUGUGUGACUCAUUGCUGAAAAUUGUGAGCUCAUUUGAGUUUCAUGUGAAAUACCUGGAUGAAUGAGACACUUCUCAGAGCAGUAUCUGUCAGGAUGGCCAGAAUUACCCCUGGAGUUUCCUGGCCUCCUGCCUCAGCUCAUGAAGUUUCUCUGGAGGGUUUGAAGGUGAAUCAGUUAAACAUGGAGACAUACAUCUGAGUGCAUUUUGUAGUCUAGGCAAAAGCAUUUGAUUUGUACAGAUUUGAAUUUUCUGUGUCUCUUUUCCUGUUGGUCAUUUACUACUGAAGCACAUAGCUCUUCCCUGUCUCUUUCUUCCUGACAGCUUUGUGGAUUGACAGACUUGUGGAGGCAUGAAAGUGAAGAGAGGCUUUAUUGGAAACCCAGAGGUUUCUCCUUCUGGCUGUGUUCUCACCAUCUGUCCAGAUGUAACUCCAGCAAGUGUAACUGUGAUGCAGGUCCCACUUCCCACAGCAGGAACCACUCCUCCCAGUAUUCUCUUGAUCAAAGCCCUAUUUCUUGAUCUGCUUUCUUGUGGGAUGCUGUCAGUGGCUUUGGCUUUGCACCUGGGCUACCAUUUUCACUUUGGCAUGUCUUCCAAACCUCCUUGAUGCUGUGUUUUCUGCUGUUUCCCCUCAUGCUCCCACUUGCAUUCCAUGUGAUAAACCUGUUUUAGUGAUGAGAGAGAAGGAUCAGGUCGCGGAGAGGUUUACUUUUGGGAGGGUAGGCAAUGGCCAGGCUUUGUUUGGAAUUGUCUUUUAAAGUUCUCACCCUCAUUGAAUGUAGCCAGUCAUAGUUUCACCCAGUUGACUUGCAACAUCAGCUAACUUGGACAUCAGCAAAUCAAAACUACCGUACCAUAUUACAUUAAUUUCAGUGGAAACAUAUUUUUUAGAAAAAUCAUAAUCAUGGAAUCAUAGAAUCACUCAGGUUGAGAAAGACCUUAAAGAUCAUCGAGUCCAACCAUGACCUAACCAUACUACCCUAACAACCCUCUGCUAAAUCAUGUCCCUGAGAACCACAUCCAAACGAUUUUUAAACACAUCCAGGAAUGGUGACUCAACCACCUCCCUGGGGAGCCUAUUCCAGUGCUUAACAACCCUUUCAGUAAAGUUUUUCCUGAUAUCCAACCUAAACUUACCCUGGUGCAACUUAAGGCCAUUUCCCCUCUUCCUGUCACCUGUCACCAGUGAGAAGAGACCAACCCCGCUCUCUCUGUAGGCACCUUUCAGAUAUUGGAAGAGAGGUCUCCCCCCAGCCUUUUUUUCCCCAGACUAAACAGCCCCAGUUCCUUCAGUCUCUCCUCACAGGGCAUAUUCUCCAAGCCCUUCACAAGCCUUGUUGUCCUUCUUUGGACCUGCUCCAGCACCUCCAUGUCCUUUCUGUACUGAGUUGUAAUGAGUUGAGUAUCAUCUUAUUUUGGCAUAUUCAUGCUAAGAGCGAGCCCAGAGGAAGGCAAGAAACAAUAUUAAGCAUAUAGUCUAUGGAAAAGAAUUAUAUCCCUGAUAUUUGUUUGGGAUUUCAGUACAGUGAACGUUUAUAACAGACAUCAAGUCAGUCAGUUUUAACAAACUGUCAAGUGACAUAUUAAAUAUGAAAAAUGCAGUGCACCAGAAAUUGUACUCAACAUUAGGUUACUAUUCUGCAAGUCACUUUAAAGGAAAUUACCUCAAAUAAAUUAAUGUGUGAAUUGUCUGAUCAUAAUGCCUGGGAUAAUUAUAAGUAGCAGAAAUGUGGAGUUAAUGAAACAGAAACAAAAUCUAGCUCUUUCUAUGUAUGUGUUUAUAAAGCAUAAGAAUCAGGGCACCAGAAGAGUUUGAAAUAUAUGUCUGUUGAAAAUACAGUCAGUUGUGUACAUUCCUUCAAAAAGCAUGUUAAGAAUUUUCUGAUUGUCUCCUCUGAGGUUUCUACUGUUGUAACAACUCACACCUCCCACCCAGAAGUUGCUUACCUACAAAAGAUUGUGUUGUAUUGUUCAGCAUUUUUGUACCAUGACCUCUCCUGUGAGCUGUGAAAGAUCUAUUGUGCUGUGUUUCAUUCUCUAGGGUGGCUAAGCGAGUGCUGAUUUACAAGUAGCAUAUGCAGACAAUUUUUUCUUCCAAUCAAGGAUCCAAAAUCCUACCACUAUUUGAGUUGGCUGUGGUGGUCAGUGUAUUCCUCACCCAGGAGUCUUGGCUGGUUGUGCACUUUGUGCAUUUUGUGAUGUCAUUCAGCUUUCUGGUUUUCUGAAAAGGAGCAGAGGAUGCAGGAUAUAGAAUGGCACAUCUAGAUUCCCAUGAAGGGAUAAUGGCAGCAAGGAGUGAGCUCACUUCCAGACUUUACCUCCUGCCAGGACCUUUAAGAUCAGUUUUUUUCUGCAGCAAAUUUGUUUUGGUUCCAAUUUCAAACCCAAAGUAGGAGGAAGUGUAUUAUAUUUCUUAAAAAGUGGCAGUUGACGCAUUCCUUCUACUGCAGUACAGGAGGGAAUACAAAUGUUUUACAAAUUAAAAUAAUCCUUACAGUAUUUUUUUUCCUGUGAUCCACUAAGAUGGAAACUAAUUCUGUAACAUUACCUUCAGCCAGGAGCAGCAUUACUGUGGCUCCCACAUUCAUAUUUUUCCUGCAUGUGUGCGCCUAUAUACUCGGAAAUACUGUACACACAUUGUGUGUAUAGUAUAUAUACAAAAGACACAGUAUAUAUAUACUAUACAUAGUAUAGUAUAUAUAUAAAAGACACAGACAAUUUACACAAGUGCAGUAUUGGAGCAUACAUUAUAAUGUGUAAUCACAGUUACCUCAGAUUAAUACCAGAACUGUGCUUCCAAGUGUUCAGUGCUGGCUUGUUUAUGGUGAAAGCAUCUUGACAUACAAUUCGUACCAUUUCAACACAGAGCAUAACCAUCACAUUAAUCCUGUCAUCCCAUUCACCACCACCACCGACAAAUGAUGCUGUGUAAUAGAAAGAUACCAAAAAGGGGACAUUAUGGUUAAAAUUACUGUAUAAUUAGAUAGGUGGAUUUCAUAACCACUUUUCAUUUUUUGUAGUCACAAGUGAUGUAAAAUGAAAUGUUUGAUAGCUGUUUAAGACAGAGAGACAAUUUUUUUCUUAUUGUUAAUUCUUCCCUACUGCUCUUAGGUCACACCUGUUUCAAAAGUGAGUCCAGACUUAAAUCUUGACAGAGAUCAUGACCUUACUUCAACCAAUGGCUGUUUUAUCCUGGCACUCAGUGGGACCAGGUAUCAGGUCUACGUAUUUUCAGCUGAACAUGUCUUUGUCUCUCUUCUCACUCCAGAGUGUAGUAUUUCUAUUUCUGAGUUUUCAUUCCUCUUUUCCUCUGAACAUUCUUUGAAUGCUUGAAUCUUUAAGCAAUAAAUUUGCCCUUGAGUAUUAGAAAAUAUGAGGAAGUAACGCUUUCCUACUGAGUAGAUAAGGUUGAGUUGGGGUUAGUCUCCAUAACUUUGUGUUUUCAUAUACUUCUGUUUUCAUCAUAAAAUAUCUUUUGUUUUGAUAAAAUGAAACAGCAAGUGAAACAAAACAAAACAAACAAAAAAAGAAUGAGUCCAGUCUGUGGAAACUCAGGGAAUAAGGUGGUUAUGUUUUGACCUACAAAGAUAGGGCCCAGAAGUGCAGAGGCAGAAAAAAAGCAGUCUUUAAAAGGAAAUGCUUUCUAGCUCUCUAAUGACUUAUUCUGUUAUCAUCACUGAAGUUAACAAUGGAUUCCUUCCUUUAAAAACAAAAAAAAAAAUCUUUGAUGUUACGUAAAUAAAAUGCUCACAUCCACAUCCAACAAAAAUAUUAAUUUGGAGGUAGGUAUGCCACAGUUGUGUCUAGAGUUUGCUGUGUUUUUGUUGUAAGCCUGACAGACACAGUAAUUAGGCCUUUCCGAGGUAAAAAAUGUUUGGAUACCUCUAAGUUGAAAGCAUUUGAAAAAAUGGCAGCCAGUAGAUGACUGUUGGUAAUAGAUUUUUUUCCUAUGUUAUGCUACUUGGAGAACCCAGGCUGAACAUAGGAGGAGACACUGUGCUGCAAACUUGGUUUGGUGAUGGUUGAAACACGGCUGAUGAAUCUUUGGGUAAAUCUCCUGUUCAUGAACUCUAAUAAUGGCAAUAUAUUAUGGAUCUCACUUACAGUUCCUGCAUGCAAGUGCAAGAAUACAUACACACCAUCUUAGCUGAACUGAAUUGUUAGUGAAGCCAUCUCCAGCGGUGCUAUUCUUUUCUUAUUACUCUUUUGAAACUCAAACCUGCAGUUGUUUAUAACUCACUGAUGAGACUACAAGUUCAUUGUCUCUCCCAAGACUGGUAAGGUUGUAUCCCUUUCCCUCUAGCUUUGGCUUAACUCCACUCAUGUAAACUUUAUGUACCCAUCCUUUUUGUGUGGGAGCAGAAAUUUUGGUGCAUAUCAAUGCCUUAUUUGCUCCGCUAUAGUCACGUGUUUGCAGCAAGUAUUUUCUGUAAACAGACAGUGAAUAGCGCACUUGUCUUGCAGUUGGUCUUGUCUUGGAUUUCUUGGCAUUACACUCACUAUUCCUAAUAUUUUUGUGGUAUUGGAGAGACACUUGUAAAUAUCAAAUAAAUAAGUAGCCUCCCAUGGUGUCUCUUUUUGUAGUGUCAGUUUGUAUUUAGUAUGUUAGCUGAAUAUGAGAACAAAAUGGAAGAUACGAAUACUAAGCACUGCCUUCCAAAAUACUUUCCCCUGUUUUAUGAGAGUAAUCUCAUUUAUUUUAGAAGAAACAAGUAAAUGGCAUACCAAGGGGCCCAAUCAGGCAAGUGAUAUUUGAUUUCACAAAGCAGAUUCUCAUGUUAUGACGCAUUUGCAAGGAGCAGGAUGGAAUAAUAAUGCUGUGCAGAACAACUUGCUUGUGUGCUUUCAAAUAGAGUAGAUCAUCUGAAAGCCACGGGACCAAGCAAAAGCUGAGACUGGUGGACUGGUUGGAGAGCUGUGCAAACCAGGGCAUGACACCUGUUUGUCCAGUUCUCCAAAGGGAUUUUCCAAAGUUUCAAGUGUUGCCAGCAGUUGGUUGCCUUCUUUGCUCAAUCAUUAUUUACAAUGUUUUCAGUUUGAUGGUGUUUGUAAGGAGAGGUAAUAUCCUUUAUUCAAACCACCUCUCUCCCUUGGCUUUUUGAUAGCCUUAGGCAGUCCUGGCUCCCUCAUGUUCUAUAAUUCUCUGAUAUUGUUGUUGACUCUAAUGGUGGUUAAGAGCAUGCAAAAUAGUCAGAAGCCCAACAGGAUUUUGAAUCGAUAGUGUUCCAUAGUUUAAGAUUUCUAUAUGGAUCAAACAUUUCUAAUACAUAGAAAGCUAGAGGAAAUCUCAGGCAGUGAAUUUCUGGCUGUACUCCUGUGUUGCUUAAUGAUGGAUACCAAUAAAUUCAGUUAUACUCUAGGCUUGUUGCAAUUGUUGGCUUGCAACACUGCCAAUCACACUGGGAGGAGACAAAACAGAAAAAACAGUGUUUUCUCAGGCAGAAAAAUCACUUUACUGAGUACGGUGUGGUGUUUUGUUUCACCCUUAAAGAGUCAGCUCAAAGAUCCCCUGUAUGUUUAUGAUGCAUACUAGUGUUCACUGGUAUUUAUUUUAAUACCUUGUAUUACCAAAACUUCUUUUGUGCCUUGAACUUCAUGCUGUAGGCUGAAAAGUGGACUUAUGCAGCCAGAACACUGAACACAAGCCUCCUGAAAAGUGUUUGUAUUUUAAGAUGGUACUCCUGCACACUUUGACGUACUAGCAGAUCUGAUAAGCUUUGGGAGAAAAUAGCAUAGUAUGGUGCUAUUACAUGAGGAACUGGUAUUCUAUUGAAGAGAAGUCAUUCCAUAAUGUGAUUUUUUAGAAACUAUUUUUCUGGCUGUGUUUGCUUAGAUGAAUGAAACAAACUUCAGUGAAACAAACUGAGCAUAGUCAUAAAUGCAAAUUCAGUAAUAAAUGUCCGUGUGGAACACAGACUUCCCACAAAAGCAUUUUAUUGUUUAAUUCACAGGGUGAAAGGAUACAUUUGUUUUCAAAUAUAGCUGUUAGUUGUAAAAGCUAUGGUUUGGGACAUAGAAGUUGUUCUUUUGGUGAAAAGUGUGUAAAAUCUUUCAUGCACAUUCAUUGUGUUUUAAGCCCCAAGGUCAGAAUUCAGAACCUGGCAAUUCCGAUAAGAAUGAGAAACUGAUGAUAGAAAUGAAAUGUAUUUUGGGGGCAGUUUUGCAGCCAUGUGCUUUAUUUUACAGAGCAAGUAUGCAAUUUUGCUUCAACAAACACAGGCAAAAGUCAUCAGAGCUUUUCUUUCUUCUCCCUUCCCCUCCCUUUUCUUUCCCCUUUUCUCUUUUUUUCCUUUCUUUCUUCUUUUUCCAGAAAUACCCAAAAUGGUUAUACUUGCAAGUAGCAUUCAAAAAAAGCUUCAUCCUCCCAGUGUCAAUGCACAACAUUCCUCUUUGCUCUUACACCCCCUUUACUUGCAUUUUCCUAGAUUAUCGUUCUCUAUUGGUCUACAAUCACAAACAGCAGUAACAGCAACAAACAACAAAAAACAACAAAGAAACAACAAAACACCCUCUGUUCAUCCGUUAGAUUCAGUUCUACACAGUCCCCAACAACUUGGACUGUCACUCCUUUUGCGUGCUAAUGUUUUAAACACCUGGUCGCCCUAGUUUUUGAGCCAUAAAGACUAAAUGCAUGUGCCGGCUUCCAUGAAGCCUGUGAUGGUUUCUUGAUUCUGGAUGAUACCCACACCUUCCUUAUACCUGUUAGAGUUUGCGUCAUAUCCAUGCACACACAUACCCAUUUUUUAGAAACGAUAGAGAGGCUUUUUGUCACUCCUUAAUCCUUUGUCAAAGGGUAGAAAAUGCAGUGUUUUUCUGUGUGAGCUGGGUGGACAUCAGAGACUCUUCUCUUUCUUUGGGUCCCACAGCCCUGCUUUGAAAUAUUUUUAAAGAGAUGAAUAGGGUGUAGUUGUAGCUUUAAAACGAUGAACUUUGCACAUCACUGCAAUAAAUGGUUCUCCUUUUUAUUCUGGGGUCCAAGUUGAGAUAAUACACAGAAGUAAAGAAAAAAAUCUGGAUGUCUUCUAAUUUAUUGUCUCCUGACUUUUUUUCCUCCCUUUAAUUUAUUUUUGGAGUCUGGGAAGAAAAGCAUGCCAGAAAGGCCCAGUGUAUUGAUGUGUGAAAUUGAAGUAGUUGAUGAUUCUUAUGAUCCAGACACCAUGCCCUUUGACGGGGUUAACAUAAAAAGAAACAUACUGGAAAACACACACUUAAAUAUGAAAAAUUCCUUAAAUUCAGGGUGUGUUCAUGCAAAGUGAAAUUUUUACAGUGUGGAAAGCAUUAAACCUGAUCCAGAAAAAACGUUAGGUGCCCUAGCCAUUGAGAUGUGAAUCUCUUUAAUCCACGCAAGCAUUAGAAAAAUCUGAAACAUGUGAAAGUUCAAAAGCUGCAAAGCCAUUACAUGACUCCUUAUUCAUUUCUCAAAUAUUGUGACUUUCUAUUGAACUGUGAAAAGGCUUCUUCUUGUAUUUUUUUCCCGUUUCAUGAGCAAUAUAUCAGUCACUCACAAAUGCGUUAUUCCGCAUUGUGAAGCUGAAAGUGAGUUUCAUUUGGUUGUGUCUACUUGGGUAUAAAUCUUUGAUUUAUUUCUGAGCAUUUAUGUAGCAUUUCAGAAGUUGGUCACUUGCACCUUUUCAGCAUUUGCUGUUGGAGAAGGGGAAAAGGCAAGUAUUAGUGGAAUGUCAAUGUUGUUUUUCUUAAGAUCUCUUAGACUUUUUUUUUUUUUUUUUUUUUAGUCUGUUUGCUCGAAUGCAGUACUUACGGAGAUAGAGUUGCUGAGAGGUAAGCUAGAGAUUGCUGUUACAGUGCAGUGUCUGAAAAAUGGCUCUUUAUAUAGGGCAACAACCUUAACGGAGAGCAGAAGGUUUCACACUGGUUUGUCACCUGAAAAUGGGACUUAUUUUUAUCAGUGAAACUCCUGUGAGAAGAUCAUGCAGUGCCAGAGAGCCAUUGGAGCUGUUGCUUUUUUUUAAAUGAUAGCAACUGCAGAAUCUGAUGGAGACUUCCUGAGUCCCUACCGUCCUCUUCUCCCCCCCCCCCCCAAAAAAAAAAAAGUCUUAAAAAGACAGAGAAGCCUGUUAUCUAUAUGAAAAUAGCUGUCAACCUGAAUUUCACUAACUUGCCAGAAGAUGUAUCAAACAGUGAAGAUAGUCAGCUAAUUUCUGGGUCUCCUGAGAAGACCACACUCUCAAGUGAUGGACUUCAUUUAGAGUUUGUAAUCUAAGGAAAAUAUAUGACUCAAACCUCUGCCAAGGCCCAAAGAGCUUAAAUGUAAAUAUGAGAUAAGGACUAGCUGUAGUCAUGCCAAGGAAUUGCAGCAAAACAAAGGCUUAUUGAUCAAAAAGGUCAUGGAAAAGAGGACAAGGCUUAAAGAAACUAGAUUUAUUUUUAUUUUUAUUUUUUUGAGUUGAAUGCAAAAAUAGUAACCCAAAGAUGGAGUUCUGUAUGGCAGGCAUCUGUCAAAUGCAUUCUUUUAUUUGUCUGCACAAAUAAAGUGAAUAUCUAUAAUUCUCUUGUUUCAUAGAAUGACUUCCAACCAUAGUCUCCAGAGUCUUGAAAUAGCAAAUAUGUCCCUCUGAUUAAAAUGGAGAAUGUGACAACAGAAAAUGCAGUACUGUGCCUGGGUCUUCCACUUGAUGCUGUUGGGCUUCUCAUGUCUUGUAGGGAUAUGUGUAAGGCUGCUCACAUAUUAUGGUAGGCAGUGGCUACUGAUCUAUUACUGUGGUACGUAAACCUUCUCAAGGGUUUGAAAUAAAUACCUGCUGUUGACUUCAUUUCCUUGGUGAAGAAGGCUUUUUUUUCUUAUAUGUCUGGUGAAGGUUGUAUAGGAAAUGGUGCAAUACUUGCUAUCUAGGAUCCACAAGUUGUCAACCUUUCGUAUCAUGAAAAACAGAAAUAAAGGACAAAUUUCUAUUGCGAGACUGCUGGAAAAAGAUUGUAAAUCACAGAGAUCCUAGUGUCAUCGACUGACAACAAUCUGCUAAGUGAUGUUUGUGUUUUAGGGGCAAGCGGAAAAAGAACAUUCCCUGCGAAUGACAACUGCCCAUCUCAUAAUGUCAUAUUGCCAUUAUCUAUGAAUAAAGAAAAAGGCCCAUUAUGUUAUGUCUAACUAGAAAGAAACUUAACAAAGAAACACACUGUGUUGUUAAGGAGAGGAAGGAGAGCCUUGUGGUUAGGGCACAGGAGAUGUUGAUUCAAAUUUCUGGCUCUGCAAGAGCCUUCCUCUGUGACCUUGAGUGACUGGUGUACUGCUUCACUCUAAAUGGCAACAGUACCCAAGCAGGAGAGAGAUGGGUGCUGAGAUGGGAAAAAGACCUCUUGAAAAACUGGCAUAAAAAUAGGAGCUACAUAGUUUGGAGUCUUCUUAUUUCUUUUAUUUUUUUUUUCCUUUUUUUUUUUUUUAUUGUUGGGAUAAUGUCAAAUAUUAAUAAUUUAAUAUUAAUAAUAAUUAAUAAACCCAGUAAUAUUAAAACUGGAUUUGCUUCUUACAGAAUGAGAAGACAGUUUGGGCCACAGUCAGAAUUUGAUCAAGACUUGGGAAUUUUGAGGUUCAGACUUGUGGGCUAAAUGCAUCUCUACCCAGAAUAAGAUUACAGUCUGUGAUGAAGUAUGUUUUCAAUUAUACUCUGUUAGAAAAGUAAUGUGAAAUUUAUCUUAAGUUGUCACGGUGCUUCAAAGCAUGGGCUUUUCUCUUUCUAAGUCCUUGAACAAAUGCAGGAUGUGUUGAGGCAAAACUGUUUCCAAUUAAGUUGAUGCAUAAUGCUCUUUAAUGUUUCAGGACUUCAAGUUUAACUUAAAGAAAAAUGCUUUAGCCAGAGUUCAGAAGGAUAAUUCAGAUAAAAUUUCCUGGAAAGAAGUCAUUUGCCUGAACUCGUGUGGCUGCAGUAUGUUGGGAGCUCAGUUAGCACAGUGUGACACAUAGCUAUGAAUCUCAUCACAACCAUGCUGACAAAUGUAAAGAUGCAACUCUGUGUUACAUUACUGCGUUUUUAUUCUGUAUUGAAGAACCAACUUCAGCUCCCUUGUCAAGUAAGGGGCACUUAAAGCAUAUACUGAAUUAAGAGAAAUAAAAGUGAUUCCAGGAAAUGCCUGAGCUGCUUGCAUCCUGUAUAAAUUUUUUUGCUGCCUUAAGUGUGUGUUGUUCAGAAGAACGAAUUUCUGGUGUUCCAAGGCUUGUUUUUUUUCUGCCCAUCUGAAACAUCCCUGUUCAUCACUCAUCAUCCUGUGGAGUGCUAGCCUGAAAACUUAUGUCACGCUCAAGAUUAACAAGGGAUUAAGAGUGAGCAAUGGAUUUUCCAGGUAAAUUUAUGUACACGCACCGCAAAUUAUUUGUUCAGGUUUGAUUCUCCUGCUCUUGUUUGUCAGUUUUUGGAGCUGUUGCUGCAGGGAUUUCUGAACUGCUUUGGCAAUUUUCUGUAUGCUCUUCCAAAUACCUGCCACCUCCAUCCCUGCUCCCCCUGUACAGACACUUUCCUGCUGAAGCCCAACCAGUUAGGUUACGCCAAAGUUGAAUUUCACUCACGGAUGUUGGCUGCUCUGCAAUGCCUUGACUGCUCAAUUUUCUUUUCCCUCAAGGCCAAAAUUAAGUCUGAUUAGAACACAUACUAAAAACUGGAUUUGGCAAAGGUAAAAUAUAUGUGAAAAUGAUGAUAAAAUAAAUCCUUUCAUUUUCACGACGCCAAAUAAGCAACAAAAGUCACGUGACAUAGGAAAAAUGCCCAGUUUAUCACCUUGGCCAAAAUCUUGUCACACGAGCAUGUUUGGCAGUCAGUGCUGAACGGAUUAUGAAUUUUUUAAUCUUGCAGAAAAACAAUUUUUAAUUUUGAAGAAUGAGGAUCAUUGUGGAUAAAGAUGGCACUGGAAGAAUCCUUCUAAGCGUUGUGUAUGUAGUUGGAAGGAGUUUGUGCAAGUAUUCAGUAAUGCAUUAAGCAUUUGUAGGAAGCAAUAAGAACGAAUACUCAAAAUUACUGCAUAUCUUUGCUGAAGAUCAGAACAUUACUUUAACUUAUCUUGACAAAAGGAAUCUUUUCUGUGGUAGUCUUUUCCCUACUGAUGAAGUGUGCCAUACCUUGUAUGUGUAACUGUGCAGUGACACAGGCUAUAAGAAGAAAAAAGCUUGGAUUUCAGAUUUCUACUUGCUUUUGGUGUGCUUAAUACCAGUGUUAACAAAUUAGGUCACAUAGAAACUGAAGUAUUGCUUUGGUUAUGGAUCCAGUUAUCUUGUUGGCCAGAACCAUGACCUUACUUAUGCUUGGUUAUCUUAAAAGCAGUAUCCUUAUUUUUUUUUUUUUUUUCCUAGAAAAGCAAAAUCAAACCUCUCUUAUAUUUAACUUCUUAAAGUUAUUGAUUGCAAGCUAUUUUAAAUAAACUUAGUGACUCAGAAGAUGCUGGAAAUUUGAAGUAUUUUGAUAUAUGCACCAUAGGAUAAUUGUUCUACUUCACGGUGAUAUUUAGCUAUAUUACCCAUGACAAGUGUGCUGUUUCCCUUCUCUGUGCUUGUAACUCUAGGAGUAUCUUCUGUUCAUCUGAAGAUGGUAAGCUCAUCUCUUGGUGUAAAUAAAGAUGGUAUGCUCAUCUCUUGGUAUAAAUAAAGAUGAUAUGCUCUUCUCUUAGUAAAAACAAGAAAACCCAGGAAGAAUAACGACAGUGUGAUAUGGAUUUUUGUAGAGUUGGGGAUAGUAUUAUGAAUAUUCUCAUAACAGGAGACAAGAAAAAAAAAGAAAAAAAAGAAAAAAAAGAUGGGGGGAGAGGCAUUUACUUUGCUUGGGGAAAGUAUGAAAAGAUAUCAUUCUGGACAUCUGGACUGUGACUGAUUUCUGCCCAGCAGGUUUCAAAUUUUGCAGUUGUGUGUAGAACUGCAUCUUGGUCACCACUUUGAAUUAUUUAUUGUCUUACUGAGUGAGUCCUGUCUACUUUCUUAGCCAUAGCAGAAAUAUAUUUCAGUGAUAUGUCAAGAUGAGACUAUUUGAAUGAACAGAUUUUGAGAGAAGGGGAAGAAAAGUUAAAAAUAUCUCAGUGACAGAGGAGCAAAACCAUUUGAUAUAAAUGAACAGAUGCCUGAAUGAAGAAAUCUCCUUCUAAACCAAUGGAUUUAAGACAUUGUUAUUACUUAACAUUUAUUCCAGUAUUUAAUUCACAUGCAUUAUUAUUUACUGUGAGCAUCCAUUCUGAAAUUAUUCUGUAAUUUGCUCCUGUAAAUGUUGUACUAGUUUCCUCCACACAAAGGACUGAAUGAUUUUCACAAUAAAUUGUACACAUUGUGGGAAAAAUCAUAGAAUGGCCUGGGUUGAAAAGGACCUCAAAGAUCAUCUAGUUUCAACCCCCCUGCUGUGGGCAGGGUCACCAACCACUAGACCAGGCCGCCCAGAGCCACAUCCAGCCUGGCCUUGAAUGCCUUAGGGAUGGGGCAUCCACAACCUCUGUGACAUUGCACUCUACCGUGCAUUAUGGUGGAGUGCAACUUAUUUUUACCAUCUCUGUCUUUCAAAAGUCUUUAAAACUUAUUUAGAGGAGAAAUUGCAGCUGCUUUUGUCUGAAACGUGUUUGUAUGACUAGCAAAUAUGACUAGUAGCAUGACUCUGCUUUAAAAUAACAGUGACCUAGAUCUUGCAAUAAUGGACAUUAUCUCAGUAGUCAUAGUUGGGAACAUUUGAAUGGUUCAGUUUUGCAUUAAGUGAGACCUUACACAGAUUAUAUGGCAGCAAGGAGAUCCCUAAUAAUCAGAACUGUUGUGCAUUAUUGACAUGUGAUUUCAGACAGUUUAAAUGCCAUCUGUAUCUUUUCAAACUUUAAAUAAAUAGAGCAUAUCAGUAAGUGGUAUGGGUGAGAGAGAGAACUUAUGGAUUUUACAAUAGCUUAACUCAAUCAAGACCAUUUCCAACAAGUGGUACAUGUUUAUCAUGGCACAAAACAGAGUUCAAGCAUUUCAGAGACUCUGCCUGGUCUGUCUUUUGUCAGAAAGGUAGAAUUGUGAACUGUCUUUAAUUAACUGUUAUCAUACACUUUUACCCACCUGUUGAUUGCUGCUUAGUGAUACUAAUUUGAUUUUAAGCACAUUUAGACAGAGCAAUGUCUGUUUUGACAAAAGUAUCUUCACACAGGAUAUUUGUUGCCAGCACAUCAAUAGUUUGAGUGUAGCACCCUACUCUGAAUACUGUCUGGUGAUCAUGGCUUUAGCCAGCGAACAGUGAACUGCAUGUGUCACCUCAGUGAGUUAUUCAGGUUCCCAAAGGUACAGGUGCACCAGGAAAAGUUUGAUAAGUGACUGAUCGCAGUACUUUGCUACUUCCCUUUCCUCCUUUCUGUAUUCCCUUCCCCUCCUCAUUUUGUAGCUAUCUAGCAAGAAAAAUAUACUGAUUUUAGCCCUUAAUUAUCAUUGAGAGAAUCAUGGACCAAGAGCAUCACUGUUGCAUUGCUGUGCACUAGUCAGAUUUUUAUAUGCUUUUUUUUAGUAUAUAACUUUGUGGCCAGUUUUUGAUCAUUGAAACAGAAGACAUUCAGAGAGUAACACGUCAGCAUUUUAAGGUGCUCAAUUGUCUGUGUUACUUUAACAGCACAUAAAUGAUCACUGCAUUCCAUCAAAAUGCUUAUCUUUUGGUGGAGUUAGAACUGUAUCUAAAGCAGUAAAAGGGGAUGUGUCAGUGCCUAAUGCUUUAAAUCAGGCCUUUACAUGAAUUCAUGGAUGAGCUUACUUGGAAAAUAUUGAUUGUCAUUGGAAGACAGAAGCUGGACAAAAUUACCAGCAAAUCCUCUCAGCAAAGUAAAUCUGUUGACUGUCAGCUGUCCUAGAUUCUAGAGUGCAAAACAGCUCAGCCAGCUGCUGAGCAUCAGUGGCUCAGAGAAUUGGGGAAAUCAGGUUCUGUUUGUAAGGAUAAUUGGAUUCCAUUUUGGGGAAUUUGCAAACUUUUAAUAUUUUAAAUAUUAAGUAAAGGAGAAGUAGUUUGUUUCCACUGUUGUGUCUGGAGGACCAAAGGAUUAUUUUUUUUUCUCUGGUUUUAAUCCCUUAGGACCUCCCUUAGGACUUUAGCGUCCAUGUUGCUUUACAAAGGCCUCUUUUGUUGUCCUUGAGAAGGACUUGACUUAUCCCCAACCUUCCACCCACUCCCAUAAGUGGGUGAGUAGAAAGUGUACAGAGAGAGCAAUGGUUCCAUAAGGGAAAGCAGACAUUACCUCCAGGAUCCCAAAAUCACAAGUCCCACCUCAACAGCCCUCCCUUUUAUCACUGCUAAGGUUUCAGUGAGGCUUGAGACUAUAGCAAGAGUAAACACACGAUUUAUUUUAUUUUUUUAAAUUUUAUUAUUAUUAUUAAGUCAUAAAAAUCUCCCACUAUUUCCUCCUGAGGAUCCGUGAUGUUUUCCUGCAGGCCAGUAGAGGAGUGUAUUUGCAGCAGUAAGUCUAUUUGGUUUUGUCUCAGACACAGUGCUAAACAAACGGAUUCUUUUUCAUCCUUCUAAACUGAUUUUAUGAGAGGGCUCUCUUUCUUCUGAACCCAAACUGAUAUGGAUAAUAACUCAUAUCCUCUUUGACUGCUUUUUCCAGUUCUCCAUGAAUAGCUGGUAAUCAUCUUGAUCUUUCAACCCUAUAUUUGGACUGCUACCCCAUUCCUAAGGAUGUACAAGGGAUGUUCUGAAAAUAAUGCCUCCUAUUUGUUUAGGUUGACUGACAACGUCAGAGGCAAAUGUUGGUGGUAUGGCAGUAAAGGCUGAAAUUUCCCACCAGUAUUCCAUUAUGUUUUGUUGCUGUGUGACAGACGGCAGCAGAGGAGCAGUCUGACAAGGAGGUUUGUAUGAAGCAAAGGUGUGUCAAUGAAUUCCUCCACGUGGAAAACAUUACACCCACUGACAUUCAUCGAUGCUUGCUGAAUGUUUAUGGAAACCAAACAGUGGAUGUGAACUCAAUGAGGCAGUGGGUGGUGUGUUUCAGCAGUGGUGACAGUGAAAGUGAUUCACCUCUUUUGGUGCAUAUCUUUAGAAGUGCAGCAUGCAGGCUCUUGUUCAUGGAUGGUGAAAUGUGGAGCUCAUGGUGGUCACUGUGUUAAAAAAUAGUGUUUUCUAGCUUAGAAUUUGCUUUAUCAAAUAGUGUUAUUGUGCUCCUUGUAUCUGGUGCAUUUUCUAUGUAAAUAAAUAGGAGGCAUUAUUUUCAGAGUGACGUACAUAGACCAAUUAUAUUAAUUAAGCAGCAUUGUGUAAGCAGUUUUUUCCAAAACCAUCAUGGUUUCUUCUCAUCCAAAUAUCACAUAAUAAAAGUGAUAUGAUGAAAAGAAUAUUCUCCAUCAUUUUUACUCAGGAAAAUAGGUUUGAAAUGUACGAAUCAUAGAAUCAUAGAAUGGACAUUACUUUUCCUGAAAGCCAGAACUGGAACACUCCCCUUAAAAGUAAUAAAAAUUAUUACAAUCAGUUUAAAGGAAAAGGUUUAUAUACAGAUAAUAUAUAUUAACGUUUUAUAUACAUAUAAGGUGGAGGCAGAGGAAUUGAGUUCAUCUGGGUGUCAGUGAGGCUACAGAAUCCAGAGCUGGGAUGGAAAACACUUGCAAGAGUAUCAUUCUCAGGGACAAAGACAAAGUGAGGGAUCCAGAGGAAAAUGUGAAGGAGAGAACUAUGGAAGAUCCCUAUGACCUUGAAAAAGAGUAUAGAUGGAAAUUCAGAGGAAUGGGUUUUUUUUUCUACAUAUCCAAUGUAAGGAACAGAGGAAAUCUUGAAAAGCUGGACCCCAGACAUGCAGAAAACCUGAUCAGUUACUCAUAAUUACCUGGAUAAAAUUCAUGCUCUUGAAUAAGACUGAUAGAUACACAACUUCUGUCAGAAAAAAAGUAUAUUUAACUAUGUGAAUCUGAUUAAAAGUUACUACACUGGGACAAUAAAAAUAAGCAACAAACAUAUUAGCUUAAAAAUAUAAUGAAUAAUUGUAAAAAAGGAGAAUUUCAAUCUUAAUUAUUUGACUUUAGGGUCAAAUUCUGAGUGCAAUUAUAGAAAGUUCAUUGAAGACAAUAAAUAAAAAAAAGAAACAAAUGAGGGGGAAAAAUGGUGCUUCUGUGAGAUUCUGUAUAACUGUGCAUUUUUUUUUCUCAAAGAUUGAGGUUAAUCUUUUGUAGUUAUAUUUUAACUUAAUCUGUUUUGAUUUAUAAAAGGUAUUAAAUUUUCUUUUCUUACUCCUGCACCUCCAGUACAAAAUUUUACAUUCAGUAUUCAUUCCAAACAUGGAUAAUUUCAUUUCCCCUUACUCUUUUCCAUGCAUAGAACAAGCACCAUUGGUUAGACUGACAGAGCUUACUGGUUGCUCAGAAGCAACAUACGGUCACCCUAGAGCUUUCCUUUGAAAAGUCUGAGGCCCUUGCAUUAUGUCCUUCUGCCUUGUAUCAUCUUUUCUCUUGAAUGGAGUGACGUUACUUCCUAAAGCAACUGUGUUCUGUGAAGAGUUCUGAGUAGUGUGUUGAUUCCGCUGAGAGGAAUAUAUGCUAUGAGACAGCCUGACUUCACAGAACAACUAUUUAUGUCACAGAAAAUAAGUCCCUUGGCAGAGAUAUACCAAAAUAAAUUCUUUCAGAAAUCAAUGGUCGUGACUUUUGAAGAUAAAAUUGAGCUUUUCUAAUGUUAAUAAAUUUAAGUUAAAUUAUGAUUUUUUUUUUUUUGAGUUUUGUGAAAUAAAUUUACUUACUUCUUGAAGCUGCCUGUCAGUAAUACAGAGGACCUGGGAAUAAGAGAACUGCUCAUCUCUAAUGAUCUUUGCAUGUACUUCUCCCGCAGGUCAUUGUUAGAAACCAGUUUUUUCUUUAGAGUGAACCAGUACUUCAGCUCCUGCGUAAAGCAUUGCUUGUCCCUUAAACAUAGGCUUUCACCUGUCAACUCAAAUUUGCCUGCUCAAAUAUGUAUUUGUAUUGUGUUGCCAGUGCACAGUUUAGAGUGCAAUUCUUUAGGGCAGUAUUAGUACUUUCCUUGCAAGAAAUAGUAUCUUCCUUGUAACAACUGCACUUUGUGUAAAGCCUAGGGCAUUGCAACACUGAAUAGAAGGAAAAUACUUGUUUUGCCCUUACUGUACAAGUGAGAAGUGGGAUGUAUUCAAAGACAGAGACUUAUUUGUUUAUGAUUUCUAUCAGUGAUUGCUUAUCAUAAAUAUCUUCAUUUUUCUGAUUUUUCUCAUGGUAGACUGAAAUGGAGUAUUAGUAAUAGUUUGAGAUGCCUUUCUUGUGUAGCUGACAUUCUCAAAUCUAAAGCUUAAUUCCUGGAUGGGAAAUGUUGUCUGCAGUUUUGGGAAUAGAUUGGUAUCUGUAGGACAGGGCCUAAAGAAUAAAGAGGAAAAGACCAUCUAUUAUCAAUAAUCUUAAGGAUACCAAAGCUGAAAGAAUUCUUUUUAACAAGGGAAUGUCUUACCAGUGGAGAGCAAAAGCAGAAUGAUGAGAUCUUAUUUAAGUUAAAUGCUUUUUAGUAAACAAAUUGAGCGGUCAUUUAUCAAAACAUUGAUUAGUAAAAGGUUUGCACCGUUCUUAUAGUGUGUCCACUGAUGGAUGUUAUCUUAGGAGAUGGCAAAUAAUCUUGCAGAGUGGCUGGAACCGUUUGAACUCAUCAGCAUGAUAUCAGCAAGUAAAGCGUCAGCAGUGCUCUUGUCUAAGAAUGUUUUGUUGGCGCAACUCAGUGUACAAGACUGACUCUGGUUCUAGGUGGAGGGGAAUGACAGCUUGGUGGACUACCUUGGACAACUGAUACAUUACAGAUACAGAAGAGUACAACCAUGCAGGAAAACACUGAAAUCUUGUUGAUGAAUUUAUUCAAACAGUGGACUUUUAAGGCUCAGGAUAUGUUUUAGAAGAUACUAGUAUUAAUAUAGUAUGUUCAACUGUCUCCAUCAGACAAGCACAGUAUCUGAUUCUUAUCUGUGAGAGUUUUAGAAAAUGACUUAGCCGCUUAUGUGCUUGAGUAGUUAUGCCAGCAUAGUGCUGCAUAACUCAAGGUCAGGAGUUACUGACAAGAUGUCAGUGUUUGCCUGUGCUUGUUGCAGCACGGGGACUUGUGAUAUGUCAAGCUGCUGCUCUUUUGCAAGUGAGAAGUAUCAUCAGAUGCAAUGAGCCAGUUUUUAUCCUGUAAAUCCUUGGAGCAGCAGCUACAAAUUCUGUUCUUGUGCUGCCGUGGUGUGAAAAGGGGAAUGGUACUCUUUAAUAAUACCAAAUGUAUUCAUGCUUGCCAAAAUCUAUUUCAUAGUUUAUUUUAUUUUAUUUUAUUUUAUUUUGUUUUGUUUUUUAUUUAGAAGUCAUUUGCAGAUCUUCAACCUGGAUUACUUGAAAUAGCACAGCUGACACUGAUACAGUAUUUUUUUAAAGCUGGUACAAUCUGCACCUUUUUGCAAAAGCCUGCUGGGUAAUAGCAGAAACAAACAAUGGAAACGAGGCCGAUCAGUGUGAGAGAACAAACAUAAAUCUAAGAUGCUGAAUCCUUGGGAGACAGGAGUAGCUUCCAUUAUGAAUAAUUCUUCCUUUCUUAAUUUAUUUCCUGUCUCCCUCCCCCAGUGUUUCUGUUACUCUAUAGGACAUCCUGUUACUCAUUUAGAUCAAUAGUAGACUCUCAACAUAUUUGAUUUUCUGUUCUUCAUUCAGUUUUACAGACAGAAUAGUCAGGAGGGUGUGGACAGUAAAGGGAAACAAACAGCAAUGCUAAUUUCAGUAUUUCUUCAUUUUGAAAACCUUGUUUUACAUUUUCUUUAUAUUCAAUCUUUGCAUACAGAGUAGUAUACUAUUUAAAUGUGCAUUUUAAGUGAUUAUGAUCUGGCUGAAAAUAUUGUCACAAUGAGUUCUGGAGAUAAAAUGAGGGGCUAAAUGAUGGUGCUUUGUUUUGGAAAGUCUGUAUCAUUUAGUUCUGGCUUAAUAAAUGGCGCACUAUGUCAUGAAGUCUUCAUGAGCUUUAGAAAAACUGUAUUGUUCUGUAUAUAGCUAGAAAGAUUACUGACAGGAUUUUUGACCAGCUUCUGGGUCAUAACACCACCAUUUCCAAGGUCAGAUUUGAUUUUUGCUGCUUAGGUUGAUUUUCAGAAUGGGUACUGAAAGGGGUAGUGCUUGUAUGUAAGUCACUCUGAAAGUAAUGCCUCCUAUUUAUUUCUAUGGAAGAGAGCACAAUCACACUAUUUGAUAGAGCCAAAUUCUCAGGCAUCAAUGAAUGCCAGUGGGUAUCAUUUUUUUCCACAUGAAGGAAUUCAGUGACACACCUUUGCUUCACAUGCACUUCCAUGUCAGAUGGUAUUCUGACAGACUGCCCCUCUGCUGCUCUCACAUCAACGAAAUAUAACAAAAUAUUGGUAGGAAGUUUCAGUCUCUACUGCCAUAUCACCAACAUCCACCUCUGAUGUCAUGAGCCAGCAUAAAGUAGGAGGCAUUAUUUUCAGAGCACUCUCCUAGGAUAGUCACAAAUAACACAAUCUCAUCCCUUCUGAAUUUCACAGAAGAUCAUUUAUUUUUGCUUCCCCAAAUAUCUUUUGAUUUCCUGGAAUUCUUAGGCUUAUGCUUUUAAUCCCUUUUCCGCAUGCAGAACUGACUAUGGGUAGGAAUCUAUUCCUACAUCUUCAUGGGUAUUUUCACAGUGCAGUUGUUGAUCAUAGAAUCAUAGAAUCACGAAGGUUGGAAAAGUCCAACUGUCUACCAAUCAUCAAUAUAUCCCACUAACCAUGUCCCUCAGUACAAAACCUAAACAUUUCUUGAACACCUCCAGGGAUGAUGACUUCACUACCUCCCUGAGCAGCCCAUUCCAGUGCCUGACCACUCUCUCAGAUAAAUAGUUCCUAACAUCCAAUCUGAAUCUCCCCUGGUGCAACUUGAGGCCAUUCCCUCUAGUCCUAUAGCUAGUUACAUGGGAGAAGAGGCUGACGCCCACCUCACCACAACCUUCCUUCAGGUAGCUAUAGAGAGUGAUAAGGUCUUCCCUGAGCCUCCUCUUCUCCAGACUAAACAAUCACAGUUCCCUCAGGCACUUCUCAUAAGACCUGUGCUAGAAAACCCUCACCAGCUUUCUUGCCCUUCUCUUGACACGCUCCUGGGCCUCAAUCUCUUUCUUGUAGUGACAGGCCCAAAACUGAACACAGUACUUAAGGUGCAGCCUCACCAGGGCUGAGUACAGAGGGAUGAUUUCUUCCCUGCACCUGAUGGCAACACCAUUUCUGAUACAAGCCAGAAUGCCGUUGGCCUUCUUUGCCACCUGGGCAUACUGCUGGAUCAUGUUCAGCCAAGUGUCAACCAAAUCUUCCAGAUCCAUUUCUUCUACAGAGUCUUCUAGCCAUUCUGCCUCAAGCCUGCAGUGUUGCCUGAGAUUGCUGUGGCCAAAGGCAGAACUUGGCACUUGGUCUUCUUGAACUUCAUCCCAUUGGUCCCAGCCCAGUUAUUCAGCCUGUCCAAAUCACUCUGUAGGGCCUUCCUAUCAUGUGAACAAAGCCAUGUUUCCUACAUACUUGACACUCUGAAAAUGUCUGGUGUGUCUGAAGGUGGGAAACGUGUUCAGAGGAAAAGCAGCUUUUUUCUUAUAAGCAUUACACAUCAAUUUUCUAGGAGAUAGGGGAAUUUCAAGUAAAGAUAAGGGUUUCUUCAGUUGGAUUAGGACAAUGAAUGCAGAACAUCAGUGAAUGAAAAGAAAGUUUAUCAUACUGGGGUAUGGAUCUAGACAUCUGGAAAAUAAACCAUUUUCUUUUUUAUUUUUUAUUCCCUCAGAAGGAAAGUGUAUCAGAGGGGGAAAAAAAAAAAAACCCUCAUUCUGAUUUGUCUUACAUAUUUUUGAUUUUUAGCUUGCUUCACUUCACUGUUUUUGUAGGAGAUUUUCCUUAGCUGCCUCUGUAAAACUUUCUUUUACUGUGAAUUUAAACAAAAUUUUGACAGCUGUCAUGCUAGGGAUGUACUGGCAAUGCUGCCUGUCAGGAUGACCAACUGUGUCACUGUUUUCUUGUUCUUCCAUCUGUCUGUCUUUUUCUGUUUGUCAUUUUUGUCCCUCUCAUACUAAAAGUGCCUUUAACAUAAGGAACAUUGUUUUUUCAAGGUGUUUCGUACAGUACGUAACACAAUAGGUACUAAUGCAUGUGAUACCCUUGUGUUUUAUUCGAUUUAUUCAGUUCCCUUUUCUAACAGGAAAACUCCUAGCAGGUAAAAAAAGAUCAGCCCUCUGUUAUACCAAAUACAGGAAAUCAUUGCAAUUAUAAUUUUGACAAGAGUCUAAGAUGUUUAAAGAAGGCAUUAACUUCUGUCAGUUCUUACUUCUUCACUAAAGCUGAGCUCAUGCCUUUAUGCAAGGAUUGAAUAAUCCAGUCAACUAAUUAACUAUACCUUCUGUCAUUUUUUUGAACUCUUUCAUUUGGGAUUGCAUGAAUGUUUUCCACUGUAACUUAGGGAACCUAAUGUAAGAUAGGGAAUUGUCAUUUGAGCUAAUCUAGACAUAUUCUUUCCUCUAUUUAAGGAAUAAUAAUGCUAUGAGGACACAUUUAUUGCACAUCAAAUUAUUCAGGUCUUUUGUGUUCAUUGAAGCUCAUUUAAACAAAAAUCUGAUAAAGGAAUAAAUAUAUAAUCAUAAGUAAAAUAAUGCAUACUGGAUAUAGAUGACGUCUAAUUCUAAUGUUAAUGGACUUAGGUACCAGAAGAUAGACAUUUAUGCUUCUCUAUUCUACAUUGCAUAAAUCACCUGAUUAAGUAUGUUAAGCUUAUAUGCCAGCACAGUAUACAGCUGUGUUCAAGAUUAACCCUUAGUAUGCAUAUCCAUCCCCACAGUCUUCUGGUAAUGCAUGCUCCAUUAACUACCCCUGAAUUCCUGACAUUUCUCCAUCAUUUUCAACAGGACAUGAUGUGGCCUGCUGCUACUUUCUGCUUGCCUGAUUGCCUGCUAAAGUCCAUUCCUCUUGGCACUGCUUACACCAGCUCCAGCUGCUCCACGUUGCUUUACAGUAUCAACAUCUACCUCCUCAAAUUUGGAAGACUGGUCACCCUUUGUAGUACUGCUGUGUGGAUGAAUCUUAAUCUUCUUGAAAGUAGGAUAUUAAAGAUGAGAUAAGCCCUGGUAUCUAGAAGUAGUAUAUACUGCAGUCCUAUGAGACACAUAGAUAGAUAGCCAGAUAUAAUCUUUCUCCACUGGAUAUCUUGUCCUUAGAACUAUUACCCUGGAAACACUCCUUAAUAUUUCAAAUCACAUACCCCUUUUCUUAGGUAUAUUCUAUUUAUCAGACAUAGCCUAGCUACAGAAUGGCCAAUGCUGUUGAGCUCUCAGUCUUUGUAAAAAUGGAUUUUCAUCUUUUGUACAAGCUUGUAUUUUGCUAAACAAUUAAAUAAAAACAAAACACAACAAAACAAAACCUUGUAAAUACCAACCUGUUAGGACUGAUCUGUCUAUCGAUCAAUGAAGUGUUAAAAUCCACCACAGGAACUAGUCCCAGUACGACUUGAUACUUCACUCUGAAGCAGAAGUACUUUCAAAAACACAAAUAUCUGGUUUAUUCCCAAAAGCUCUUUUUUCUGGGUCAAUCCCAUGUUUCUUAAAUACUGUCAUGACAUUGAGGGGAAAGCUGUGUGCAUGUGAGAAGUCGGAAGCUUUGACACAUUAGGCAAACAAGAAGUCAGUUUAGUAUUGUGCAUUAAUGAAAGAGAAUGAAAAUAAAAAUCAGCUGAAAGCAAAUCCCACCUGCAAACCACUUCAGCAAGGUGUAUGAAGCAAAGGACAUCUGUGACCACAAUGUCAUACACUGAGGCAUUAUGGCUUCACACUGCAAUCUGCCUCUGAGCAGUCAUUUGAUAACACUGCAAUCCAGGAAUGCAGCUGUUCCUUUCUGCAAAUUUAAUGAUCCACAUAUCUUAAAAGGCAUUUUCUUUCAUAUUUUUUUAUUUACUUCUUUUGUGUUAUGUUUUGUAUCAGUGAAGAUAGAACAUUACACAGUCAUCAGGGAAAUUAUGUUUUUCCUUUUUUUUUUUUUUUUGAUCAUUCAAGACUUAUAUUCACAGUAAUGAGGCUUCCAGGUUUGUGCGGCUGUGAGAUGAACUGCAUUUUGCAUCACUGUCUUCACCUUCAUGUCUGGGGUUGUUGCCUUCACCUUCCUCCUGAUACUAGCCCUGAGGCACAUGUUAUCUCAUAUCCACAUGCAUUCUGUCAUGUCUCACUCUUUGAAUGAAUACAAAAACAUUUUGAGAAAAUGGAAAAUGGAGGGCUGGAUUGAAUUUUGUAGAUAUGCAUGUAGGAGACACUGCAUGCAGAUUCCCACAUUCCUGCCUCCGGGUGGUGGCUGUAGGAAGCAACUGCCUUGACAUUUCUGUCUUUCUUUUGUGGAAACCUUAUGCAGCCUUGUUCAAUCACACAAUCACAGAAAAUCACAUUCACUGGUGUUGGAAGGGCCCUCAAGCAAUCAUCAAGUCCAACGCCUCCGCUAAAGCAGAUACCCUACAAUAUGUCUCACAGGUAGCUCUCCAGGCAGGUCUCUAAUGUCUCCAUAGAAGGAGCCUCCACAACCUCCCUGGACAUCUCUGUUCCAAUGCUGUGUCACCUUUGCCAUAAAGAAGUUCUUCUGCAUGUUAGUACGAAGCUUCAUAUGCUCAAGUUCAAGUUUGUUUAUGUAUUACCUCUUGUUUGCAACUCCACAUUCAGCUCCAACUCUAAGGGAAGGAUGACAAGUUCAGUCUAACAUAGCAAACAUAGCAUGGAUUCAGCAACAAGACAACUUGGAUGGGCUUCAGUUGGAUUCACUGAAAACUGAACAGCAAUGCUGUAAGAGGUUGGACUUCUGCUCCAAAAUUUCUGUUUUCCCUCUGGGCAUGUUAGGAUAAGAAUAUUCUGCUCUUUGCAAGAAUUUGGAUGAAUCUCAGUAUAUAGUGCUUUUCUUUACAUGUUCUGUGUUUAGAAAAACCUUUUUAAAAUACUGAAUGUAUAUUAUUAUUGUACGAUGUUAUCUCUACAAUAGGUUUGUACUUUGAACUACUGGUUAGAAAACUUCUUAAAUAACUAUUAAUAAUGAAUCAGCCAGAUUUAGAGUCAAGGGCCAAAUUCUUUUAUUUUGAACUCUGACUAUAUUGACUAAAAAUCAUUUCUAUUUAAAAGAUCCCUGCAGGGACCUUCACUGUGGACUGUUUCUCAAGGCUUGAUUUGCAUAUCACCAAGACCUAUCUUCUCCUAUUUUUCCCCGAGAUGUUAUCUCUGCAAUAUCUUUCUUCUGUACCUCCUGGCAACUUUAUAGACUGCUCUCCUAUGGCAUGCUAAUAUCAUUGCCACUAGCCAAAAGAAUUUGCACAAGACAAAGGUGGAUAAUCCUAGGUUACAGUUUCAUUUGAUAAUCAAUAUGGAGAACAACCUCAGUGUUGAACCUCAUGUAGGUAGUAAAUCCAGCCAUAGUGAAGCAUGUACAUAGUUUGCUCUAGAAGUAAUGCCUCCUAUUUGUUUCCAUGAAAACUACGACAUAUAGAAAUAAUGUUUAAAGAAAAGGUGUGCUUUACGUUACUCCAUGUGGAAAAAUUUCACCUAUUGACAUUCAUCAGUGCUUACUGAACGUUUAGGGAGACUAAGAAGUGAGUAUGAACACAGUGGUGGGUAGUGCAUUUCAACAGUAGCAACAGAAACGGUGGGUCACCUAUGCUGGUGCAGAUUUUUAUGACUAUGGCAUGUAAUUUCUUGUUCAUCACAGUAAAAAUGCAUAUCUCAUGGUGGUGAUUAUGUUGAAAAAUAGUGUUUUGUAGCCGAGAAUCUGCUCUGUCAAAUAGUGUUAUUGUGCUCUUUGUAUCCAUUGUAGUUUCCAUGGAAAUAAGUAGGAGGAAUUACUUUCAGAGCAAGCAAUAUACAUAAAGCACCCCAUUGAAUUCAAUAGGAAUAUUGACAUAAGGAAGGAAUGUAGGGCUAAGCCUUUGAUUCCUGUAGAAUUCUUCUUUAACCAAACAAAAUAUUAUUCUGUGUUUGGAUUAUGUUCAAUUAGAACUUAGAAAUUAUUGUUUGUCUGUGAGAUGCCAUUCACAUGACUAUCUUCUCAUAAGUGAUUUAUACUACAUGCUCUUAGGACUAUGUCAUGUGAAAAGUGAAAUAUUUAGAUAGCCAAAUAUCUGACACAAAAGUAUAUGACAAUCACACACACACAACUGAAAGUCCAAGAAAUCACAUCACCCAAAUUGCUCAUAUCUUUCUCUCUCACUGUUUGUGUUGGUUUCCUUUCAGUAGAUACAACUGCAGAUCUUUGGCCUGUGCCACAUGUCAAAUAAGGAUAAGAACCUUCCCCAUGGAAGUCAGUUUUCAAAUUUAAAUGGAACAGAUAUGUAAAUUUCAACACUUUCCCUACAUAAUAUACGCAUUUGAACUGCCAGAUUGUUCAGGUGUACAUGCAAGGGGUAGGUUGUACAUGCAAGAACCCAUUUAUGCUGAUGAAGAAAAUGAUGUAUGGAAAAUAAAAUACAUUUAAAGCAUGCACUGUGGCAUGUACUGACUUUACCAGAAUAAUUGAGGGAAUUAAUAUUGAAUACCCGAUCUAUGGAGACAAAAAUACUAAAUAGCCUAAUGUCACUGAGAAAGAAGCAGAGAGCAAAGGAUUUCCACAUUUUUUCUCUUACAAAAUUUUGAUGGAUUCUGAUCUUUUUUUUGUGUGUGUGUGCUGUUUUUCUCAAACCCAAUGUGAUGACAGAAAACCUUGAAUGCAGAUUUCUUAUUGUUGUGCAAUUGCUGGGGAAAUUGUAAAUAGCUGGAGUUUAGAUUUGAAAGUAUGUAACUACUCCAUUUCCAUCUGAAUUAACAUGUAAUACCUUUUUUAAUUCUGUAUUUAUCACAGGAAAUAUUUUUUGCUUGAAGUAUGUACUUCUGGGAGUGUGUUCAUUGUCCUGUGUUGUAAUAUCACUUCUGAAAGAAAUAUGUCUUUAAAUAUUAGUGUUCAGUAGGACUGUUCUUAAUCUCUGUUAUUAUAAUAAAUACUGAAUGUCAGACUUUUUCAAAGAUCCAAAUUGGAAAUGUGCUUUUUAUCUCACUAAAAUGAGUGGAAGCUCCACACGUCAUGUACAUUUCAAAGUAGAGAACUGUUAUCCCAAAUAUGCAUUGCAAGGAUAAUUGGAAAGGAUUAAUUUACUUCAUGGGGAUUUGACGGAGAUGAAUGAUCUGUUGUGCUCCCGGGAAAUUGGGAAUUUGGAAUUCUUUACUUUCAGUGGUUGAGAAUUAUCUGUGAAGUUUCUAUGCUUGAGUAGUUUUAAGUGCAUCUGUUCUUGAAGUAAUACAAAACAAAAACUCAGAUUUUCCCUGUCUGGGGUUUAUUCAUGUUACUACAGAUUUUUAAUACGAAAAUUAGAAUAUUGAAAAUAUAUUUUUCCUUUGGUUUUAAUAUUUAUACAGUAGAAAUUCUUGUUAGUGUUAAAAUGGAAUCAUAUAUCCAUUUAUGUUUUUAUAUGCAUAAGUACACCAUAGUUUAGGGUUUGAUGAAAGCCAUCUCAGUAGAAUCAGUCCUUGUUACACUUGUUUUAGAUUUGUGCUGUUUGAGGCAGAGAGAUACAGAUAGAGGAUUUAUUUUUCAGUCCUAGUAGUUAAUCAAGUUCCUGUAACAGUCAUCUAAUCCCAUGGUUUUACCCAAGUCGUUUUCUCCAUGUUACUUCUACCUUUCUUAAGCAAGGCAAGUUUCUGCCUCAACAUUCUACCUUUGACCUAUUUGACCUUGCCUAUUUCCUUUCUGCUGUACAGCGGGUCAAUAACAGUACUGAGCAAGCAAUCCUCUUUCUAGCAUAUUGCCAGCUGUACAGGAGCUGUUGUGAACUCCCUAGAAAAGCUGAGAUGUGGUGUAAUACUUACGUUCACCUGCAAUCAGCAAUUUUAUGGUGCUAUCUCUGAAAAGCAGAGGGGAUUGAGUGGAUGUGCCGUGAAAGAAUUGAUGGAAUAUCCACUUUAAUGCUCUCUUAAGAAGGAAGGAGCGUUCUGCAGAAAUCCAGUCCAGCAUAUAUGCUAACACAACAGCAUUUUGGUUUGUUGGACCUCCUGUGGGGAAGACUGCAAAGUGGUUAUAGUUAUACAGGCUGCUGUAGGCAUCUCUGGGCUAGUCUCCCC